rnacentral:rRNA from 1 species
AUGCGCCACUACCUCUACACGUUCUCCUCCGAUCAACCGAGCUGGAGUGCGCCCAGUAGCUUCCUGGACUGUGUGAAGCACCACAAUGGCUUAAUGAUGUCCCAACGGAGCGCCGUCGUGCGACGGGGCACGGCGCACUGGCUCUGCUGGGACUUUUCAGACAUGUACAGCGUCGACGUGAACGCCGAGACCGGCCGAUCUUCCUUGGUGAAUCUUCGCGUCCCCGUUGGAGCACGCUACUACUUCCUCCCUUACAGUACGCCGAAACUUAACGUCGGCGUCGACGGGGCGCUCCAGCUAGUCCGCCUACACAUCGAAGGUCUCUGGGUAGAGACCUGGACACGACAAGACGGCCGGGAUCGGAGUGUCGAUAGCGGGAGUGCAGACUGGCUCCGCAUACGGGUGGUCGAGAUAGAGCAACCCAAGCAGAAGUUGACUGAAAGAGCGGUCUGUGUUUGCGUUGGAGAGAAAAGUGGCACGAUGCUCCUCGUCGACCAAGACGGGAGAGCGCUCCUGGUCGACCUCGAGACUGGGGCGGUGGAGGAGAUGACGGGUCGGUUCAAAGGCCAGGAGUGGUUGGCAGCCCUGGCGGUGGAGAUAGACUGGCCGGCCUUGUUCGUGUCUCGUCUUAGUGGAUAG